rnacentral:rRNA from 1 species
AGGGUUUGAUUCUGGCUCAGGAUGAACGCUGGCGGCGUGCCUAACACAUGCAAGUCGAACGAAGCUUGACGGAUGAUUUCUUCGGAAUGAAACCUGAUAUGACUUAGUGGCGGACGGGUGAGUAACACGUGAGCAACCUGCCUUUCAGAGGGGGAUAACGGCUGGAAACGGUCGCUAAUACCGCAUGACGUGUUCGGAUGGCAUCAUCUGAACAUCAAAGAUUUAUCGCUGAAAGAUGGGCUCGCGUCUGAUUAGAUAGUUGGUGGGGUAACGGCCUACCAAGUCUACGAUCAGUAGCCGGACUGAGAGGUUGAACGGCCACAUUGGGACUGAGAUACGGCCCAG